rnacentral:rRNA from 1 species
UACAGAGGUCUCAAGCGUUGUUCGGAUUCAUUGGGCGUAAAGGGUGCGUAGGUGGCACCGUAAGUCAGGUGUGAAAUCUCGGGGCUCAACCCCGAAACUGCACUUGAUACUGCGGUGCUCGAGUACUGGAGAGGAGAUUGGAAUUUACGGUGUAGCAGUGAAAUGCGUAGAUAUCGUAAGGAAGACCAGUGGCGAAGGCGGCUCACUGGGGGUUAUCUGACGCUGAGGAACGAAAGCCAGGGGAGCAAACGGG